rnacentral:rRNA from 1 species
GUUGAACGCUGGCGGCAGGCCUAACACAUGCAAGUCGAACGGCAGCACAGAAGAGCUUGCUCUUUGGGUGGCGAGUGGCGGACGGGUGAGUAAUGUCUGGGAAACUGCCCGAUGGAGGGGGAUAACUACUGGAAACGGUAGCUAAUACCGCAUAACGUCGCAAGACCAAAGUGGGGGACCUUCGGGCCUCACACCAUCGGAUGUGCCCAGAUGGGAUUAGCUAGUAGGUGGGGUAAUGGCUCACCUAGGCGACGAUCCCUAGCUGGUCUGAGAGGAUGACCAGCCACACUGGAACUGAGACACGGUCCAGACUCCUACGGGAGGCAGCAGUGGGGCAUAUUGCACAAUGGGCGCAAGCCUGAUGCAGCCAUGCCGCGUGUAUGAAGAAGGCCUUCGGGUUGCAAAGUACUUUCAGCGGGGAGGAAGGCGGUGAGGUUAAUAACCUUGCCGAUUGACGUUACCCGCAGAAGAAGCACCGGCUAACUCCGUGCCAGCCGCCGCAGUAA